rnacentral:misc_RNA from 1 species
UCAAACAACAAAUCAAUUGAUAUGACAACAAAAAUCAUCUCAAUCAAUUUGUC